rnacentral:tRNA from 5 species
GGGUAUUUGCGUGAGUCUGGUUUAAACGAGCUCCGUGCUAAGGAGUCAGGUCGAAAGGCCUCGUAGGUUCAAAUCCUACAAUACCCGCCA